UACGGGGGGGGCAAGCGUUGUUCGGAAUUACUGGGCGUAAAGGGCUCGUAGGCGGCCAACUAAGUCAGACGUGAAAUCCCUCGGCUUAACCGGGGAACUGCAUCUGAUACUGGAUGGCUUGAGAUUGGGAGAGGAAUGCGGAAUUCCAGGUGUAGCGGUGAAAUGCGUAGAUAUCUGGAGGAACACCGGUGGCGAAGGCGGCAUCCUGGACCAACACUGACGCUGAGGAGCGAAAGCCAGGGGAGCAAACGGG
rnacentral:rRNA from 1 species